AACGAACGCUGGCGGCAGGCUUAAUACAUGCAAGUCGAACGAGAAAGCCCUUCGGGGUGAGUAGAGUGGCGCACGGGUGAGUAACGCGUGGGAAUGUACCCAGAAGUACGGGAUAACCAUUGGAAACGAUGGCUAAUACCGUAUAAUGACUCCGGUCUAAAGAUUUAUCGCUUCUGGAUCAGCCCGCGUUAGAUUAGUUUGUUGGUGGGGUAAUGGCCUACCAAGACUACGAUCUAUAGCUGGUCUGAGAGGAUGAUCAGCCACACUGGAACUGAGACACGGUCCAGACUCCUACGGGAGGCAGCAGUAGGGAAUAUUGGACAAUGGGGGAAACCCUGAUCCAGCCAUGCCGCGUGAGUGAUGAAGGCCUUAGGGUUGUAAAACUCUUUCAACGGUGAAGAUAAUGACGGUAACCGUAGAAGAAGCCCCGGCUAACUUCG
rnacentral:rRNA from 1 species